CAUGUUACAAUAUCUCGAUUUUUGCUUAAUCCAUUUUGCAAUGGAUUAGUCUUUUGCACAUCUUGGCUACUAUGGUUGUCCGCACAUAAAGAUUUGUAAUUGUUUGCUUCCUGAAUUUCAUGUUAUAUGAUAUUGAAACAAAAAGAGUGUAAGGGCUUUUUCCUUUUUGAAGUAAAGUGGGGGAGUUUUAACACAUUUUUUCAAGAAGAAAAACUCUAAACGUUUUGUUUGAGAGGCUACACAUAUGGGUGCUUCGGUUGAAACUUUUUGCGUACACAUUGGACUGGAGUAAUGUAAAUUAAUUCAAUAGCGCACACACUUUUGAGAAAAUUCCUUUUGAUUUAUACAGACCUCUUGCAUGACCCUUACAAGGUAUUACGUCUAAAAAAAAAAAUACAAAAAAGCUUAGUCCACACUUCAAUCCCACCUCAGUUCAAGCUUGAACCAUGAAGAAAGACGAUUUCAUAAUAUUUUUAACACUGACGCUGGUCCCAAAAGUCAGCUCUAAUAUCAUUACAGGGACCACAGUUGGACCAAAUUUCGUCCGUCCCACUGGGAGGUUACUUUACGAUUGCUUUGAGAAAGACAUUGGAUACCCUUCGAACGAUUUAGGACUCAUUUCGAAUGUUACAACGGUCAGGGAGUGUCAAGAUAUUUGUCAAGACACCACAAGAUGUGAAUUUUUCGCCUACGUUCCGGAACAAAUUCCCCGACAUGUCGCUCAACAUAAUUGCUAUCUGAAAUCAAAUAAGACCAUCGUCGUAUUCAAACCGGGAUUACUUUCGGGUCCAAAGUUUUGCUAACAUACAUUGCUGUCAACAAAAUUGGAUGCAUUAAUAAAAAGGAUCUCAUUUUUAAAUGGGCUUUCUAUUUCAA